UGGGGAAUAUUGGACAAUGGGGGCAACCCUGAUCCAGCGACGCCGCGUGUGUGAAGAAGGCCUGCGGGUUGUAAAGCACUUUUAGUGGGGAUGAAAAGCACAGGUCUAAUACAUCUGUGUCUUGACCUAACCCAAAGAAAAAGCACCGGCUAACUCUGUGCCAGCAGCCGCGGUAAUACAGAGGGUGCGAGCGUUAAUCGGAAUUACUGGGCGUAAAGCGUGCGUAGACGGUUAUUUAAGUCGGGUGUGAAAGCCCCGGGCUCAACCUGGGAAUUGCAUUCGAGACUGAAUAGCUAGGGUACGGUAGAGGGAAGCGGAAUUUCCGGUGUAGCGGUGAAAUGCGUAGAUAUCGGAAGGAACAUCAGUGGCGAAAGCGGCUUCCUGGACCAGUACCGACGUUCAGGCACGAAAGCGUGGGGAGCAAACAG
rnacentral:rRNA from 1 species